rnacentral:rRNA from 1 species
CAGUCGCCGCGGUAAUACGGAGGGAGCUAGCGUUGUUCGGAAUUACUGGGCGUAAAGCGCACGUAGGCGGCUUUGUAAGUUAGAGGUGAAAGCCCGGGGCUCAACUCCGGAACUGCCUUUAAGACUGCAUCGCUUGAAUCAUGGAGAGGCGGGUGGAAUUCCGAGUGUAGAGGUGAAAUUCGUAGAUAUUCGGAAGAACACCAGUGGCGAAGGCGGCCCACUGGACAUGUAUUGACGCUGAGGUGCGAAAGCGUGGGGAGCAAACAGGAUUAGAUACCCCUGUAGUCCCUGUCUCUUAUAC